rnacentral:rRNA from 1 species
AGUGAACGCUGGCGGUAUGCCUAAUACAUGCAAGUCGAGCGGCAAGACAGGAAGAUCUUGCUUUUACGGGUGGCGAGGGGCGGAUGGGUGAGGAAUAGAUCGGAUUCUACUUUGUCUGGGGUGAUAACGGAGGGAAACUGACGCUAAUACCGCAUAUGACCUACGGGUUAAAUCAGUGGUGCUUCGCACUUUUGCCGAUAGAUAUAGCUGAUGUCGGAUUAGCUAGUUGGCUUGGUAAAGGCCCACCUAGGCGACGAUACGUAGCUGGUCUGAGAGGAUGAUCCGCCACCACGGAACCGAGACACGGUCCAGACUCCCAAGGGAGGGCGCAGUGGGGAAUAUUGGACCAUGGGCGCAAGCCUGAUCCAGCCAUACCGCGUGGGUGAAGAAGGGUUUCGGGUUGUAAAGCCCUCUUGUUGGGAAAGAAAAGAAGCAGGUUAAUACCCCGCUGUUCUGACGGUACCCAAAGAAUAAGCCCCGGCUAACUUCGUG